GGUGUAACUUAGUUGUAGCCAGAACAACUCACCGCUUUCCAAACUUUGGCAAGAUAGGUAGCAUAAGCAACAUAGUCAAGGCCUCAGAUUCAAGCUGCCAACCAGCCGUGUGCCGGGCAGUGGCGGCGGGGAGGGCGGGGGCGGUUGCUUAGCCACUCUGGGCCUUGGGCUUGUCAUCCCUCAAAUGAGGAAGGCGGGUUUGGCGACCUGGUAAGACCUUCCAGUCAUCACAACACUUAAAGUUUCCAUGACGCUCUGGAAUAAGCCCUUCUUCUCAGACUUAGAUCUUUUGGGGCUUGCUGUUGUACAUCCACCCUGGAAUUCUGAGGGGUCGGGUGGGGUGGGGGAGAACGAGAACGAGCACUGGGACCUGGAACCAAAUUCACACGACCGAAUCCGUUAAGCAGAAAAGCUAGGACGCGGGCCAAAAGGUACAUGGUGCUUUGGAGAUGUCAAGAGAUUCGGGGCCUGCCGCACACCAAAGGUAGAGUGGAAGGGGGACUCAGGCCGGAGGCCAAUGAAUGGGUGAAGCGUUGGCAGGCCGGAGAGUCUGAGGUCUCCUCCUGCUAAGCAGCCAUUUCCUCGGUGGGGUUCUCCUGACUGGAUUGUUUCCACUGCUGCUAUGUCACAAAGGGGGCGGCCUUACUUCUUCAGAGUCACCUGAGGGCCUGUUGGAAGAUGAUGGCGGUGCAACCAGGGGGGCUGAAAUGUAGGGUGGAGGAAUCCGGUGCAGAGUCAUCAUCUCGGUCGCUCUCUAUAAACAAAGAAAAUGUCACACGUUGUCCCUUCAUUGCUGAACUCUACAAACAAACUCCCUGAAACAGGUCUUCAUGUUUUGAGAAACUGUACUCGAGGAGCUAUACUCUAGGAAUCCUGAGGUGUUUUCUCCACACCUGGACCUGAUUUAGGUAACAAGAUCCUAGACUUCAAGCUGAUGUCCUAAAAGAAUGAGUUUUGGGGAGUCUUUGGAAAGUACUCACUUUAGGGGAAGCCAGAAAUCAUGCUGUGAGGACCCUCCAACAGCCCUCUGAGAACAACUGAAGUCUUCUGUCAACGUCCAGCAUCAGCUUGGUGGCCAUUAGGUUAGAAGCAGGCAUGACUGAUCAAGAGACUGGGCGAAGAGCCAAGAGCCGGAGCUGUUGGGGAGAGGGCCCCCCCGUGAGCUAAAAGCUGCAAGAGGACGGAAGGUUCUGAAGUUCCUGCAUUGCCGUAUACCCUGAUGCAAAAGGAAGGCCCUGAGUACAUGUGGACUGACUUCACCUGGGGAUAGUCUUGGCCUCUGCACGUAAGACGAUACAGUGUGCAUAGAGCGCCAAUAAUAUGCAGAACAUUUCUCCUUCCUACUUAGGGAGAGAAGUGCUGGGAUGAAAAGGAUCUGGGAACCUAAGUUUUAUUGUUCUGGCUAGCAAUUUUCAGUGAUUGUCAAGAAAAGAGAGGAACGUGAGAGUUCUGUCAUUUCUUCUUUCUCAUUUUCUCUCAUUCCUGCCCUCGUCUUACCGCAACCCACCCCUAUGAUUAGGGGGGACUCCGACCACCCUGACAGCACUACAGAGAUCAUUUGGAGCCCACAUGAUUUCCUUGCCUCCUGGCAGUUCUGAUCCUAUCUCUCAGCCAGGUAUUUAUCAGAAUCUCUGCUCUGGCUUCUCGAGGUUCAGGGCGGGGACAGGGCAGCAGUUAACUCUGACCCCUCCCAUAGUAACACCUGUAUGUUCCAUCCACUUACCUUCUCAAGGCUUAAACAGAAUGUCCCAAAGAACUUACAUGCCCCCGGAGCCUAACCAACCCUGGCCAAUCUCUGGAGAAGGGGCCUGAUACUAGCCCACGGCAGAGGCCAUCUGAAAUAGCCCAUAUGGGAUUUUGCUAGAUGGGGUGGGGCCCCCGGGGACAGCACCCCGUUGGCUCCCAGCUCCCACUCUAGUCUGGGUUCUAGAACCUGCGAGGACGUCACCAUUUGCUGAGCUUCGGAGUCUCCAGGAAAGCCAGAAGGCGGAACCCUUUCAGGGGUCCCGAAAAGCGUGAGCUCUUCGAAGCAGGUGUUUGGUCUCUUAGAGCAAAUGCUUGAUUCACGUGGAUCUGAGCUGUGGGCGCUGGCUGGUUCUGUCCAGGGUCACGCUCAACCUUAAAAGCAGCGCUGACGCUGAAGCACUGGAGAGGAACAUUCCGAGUCAUUCGGACCCUAAAGGAGUGCUCACCGGUUGUCAGUCGAUUGUUCCUACUGCCGCUCUGUUAUCUGGCCAGCGAGCAGCUCCCUCACCCGCAAGCUGCUCCCUCCACAUGAUUUGCCAGCCACCACAGGGCAGCGACUGAACAAAAUGCUCUUCUAGGGGAUGCCCUGUUCCACUCCAUUUUUAUCUCAGCAUUCCUGUCCUUUAGAUGCACGGCUGCAAUUCUCACUCCCCGCUGCCUAGGUACGUAGCGUCCAUUGUGUAUUUCCUGAUGAUGCGCUUUGGUUUGUCUCUUGGAAACACUGUUAUUGCACCCCAGGGACGCAGCCUCCAAACUGUUGCAUUCAGCCUUCUCCUUCCUCAGCUGUUCGAAUCCCAUGACAAGGGUGACUGAUUUGGCAGCACCAUAACCAGCAGUCACUUCCCCCCCUUCCCCCCCCCCCCAAGGCUUCCCAGAGGAAAAGCUGUGCCAUUGAAAUGCAAAUGGCUGAUCAAAAGCGGUAAAUCCCUUCCGAGAACAAGGUCUGUCUUUGCCACUUUGGGCUUUGCCAAAUAUUUCAAACAGCCUUUCGCAUCUGGGCAAGGGGGAAUGUUGGUAUGUAUCAUCAGGCUGAGGCAAUGUUCUUAAACAGUGGUCAUGAUCCACUAGGGGCUUCUGAAAUCAGUUUAGUAGGUUACAACUGCAUUAGAAAAUAGAAUCGAACCAAAGAGAAUAGAGUAGACGUACAGGAGUACACAGCCCGUAACAAAGGUUGGUUUCUUCGUGAAAUUUUCAUUUUGGUAUAAACACACGCACAUAGAUACAUAAACGUGUGUACUGAUGUGGGGGCACGAAUGUAUUUCUGUUUAUUUUUUAACCUUUAUUUUAGCUGUGACGUAUUAUUAAACCCCCAGCAGCAUAUAUACAAUUUCUAUUCUCAAGACUCAAUAGACCAACUCCUAAGUUUCCCCCGCUGUGACUGGGAACGAGGACAGAGCUGAGACCUUAGAAACCGUCUGUCUGGGGGCACCUGGGCGGCUCCGUCGGUUAAGCGUCCAACUUGGAGCACGUUGUGAUCUUGCGGUCUGUGAGUUCAAGCCCCGUGUCAUGUCGGACUCUGUGCUGACAGCUCAGAGCUUGGAGCCUGUUUCAGAUUCUGUCUCCCUCUCUCUCUCUGCCCCUCCCCCGCUCGUGCUCUGUCUCUCUUGCUCUCAAAAAUAAAUAAAACAUAAAAAAUUUGAAAAGAAACCGUCUGUCUGACCCUCCUCACCUCAUUCCCCUUCCCGGCCCCCAGAAGCAGCCGCACUCCUGACUUUUACAGUAAUCGUCCCCUGGCUUUGGUCACAGUUUUGCCCCCCACAUCUACAUCAGGAAGAACAGUGAGUUUGGUCUGCCUUUGAGCUCUUCCUAAGGAUUCUCCUGGGAUUUGCUUCUUCCCCUCAAGGCUGUGUUCCUGAGAUUUUUCUCUCGUCGGCACGUUCACUUGUAGCUCAAGCAUCUCACUGGCGUGUAGCUUUCUUCGUAAGAUUGCACCAUGAUACCGGCACCAUCCUGGGGCUGGUGGACACGAGAGUCAUUCCAGAUUGGGUGUUUACAAACAGUGCUGCUCCGGAACCUUCUCCCUCAUUUCCCCGGCAUGCCUACAGAGGGGUUUCUCUGGCACGCAGGAGAGGGCUGUUGGGUCUGUGAUUCCUGCAUGUUCUACGUGACGGGGUGCAGCUCGGUGCUUGCACCCAUUCUCCACCACCAGCCCACACGUGGUUUUGUUCAGAUGCAUUUCUGACUGUGGUCUGUAACCAAAAAAGUUGGAAGACAUGUCUAAAGGCUCCUAAGGUAAGAACGGUACUCCUUUAAAACUAAGAAUUUUUUCAUUGCCGUGUGUGUGUGUGUGUGUGUGUGUGUGUGUGUGUAGGUGAGCCUGGAGGAAAUCAGAGCAGGAGAAAGGAUGAAAGGACACUCACGUUGUGAGCACUUGUUACCCACCAUGCACCGAGCACAGCACUUUACCAAUUUGCACGUAUUUUCUCCUAAAUCUUCACAUCAGCCUUGUGAGACGUGGUUAAAUCCCACUCGGUAGAACACAGGUUCAAAGAAGGUAAGGAACGCACCCAGAGCCAUAUGGCAAGAAAUACGCUGGAACUGGAAUUUGAACCCAGGCCUAUCGGUCUCCAAAGCCACCUGACCACUUUUCCCACCUCGGAUGCUCUUCCCAAGGCCCCUGCCUCCGCGGGUUGUACUUCCCUGCCUCACUGGCACAUGACCUUGGCCCAAGAUUGCCUCCAAAUCACUGUGAGAGAGGCGCAGUUCAUCCCAGGACUUCAGAUCUUCCACAGAGUGUCCUUGGCCCCCUGCCCAGCUCACACCUGCCCUCCAGAUGCCAGGACCUGAACAGCUCACCAUUCCGCCCGAUGCUUAGACGGCUCUUGCCAGUCACUGGCUCCUUGGUCUCUCACUGUCUCUCUCUGUCUCUAGAUGGUGCCCUCUUGCUGGAGGACCGGCUCGACCUUUCCUCUCUGAAAGUUUUCAUGUGUCUGCUCCCACCCAGGGAGGUGGAGGCUUUCUUUUGGGUAGGACACGUUCUUCUGACCAUGAAAAGGGCAAUCACGGAGGAGAUGUUUCAUUAUCAAGCAACUUCGAGACUAGUGAUUGACCAAACACCUGGGCACCUAGGCCCCCACAUCACACACAUGGAACUUGAGCAGCAACAUUGGAUGAGUUUCACACUCAGAUGAAGUCUGUUGCUAGGCUCCCUUGACCUCAGGUCCGAUUUUGCCACCAAAUGAGUUUUGGGAGCUUGGGGGUCUGGGGGGAAGGGGUGGAAAGGACCAAAGGUUAAUUUCACUUACUUUACGGUUUCCAUUCUGAUCAGGCCUGCUUGCCAAAGUGCAAAGGGCUGCUAUCUAUGCGUAAGAGCGAUAAUAACGGCAGUCAGUUAUUAAGUGUGUAUCAUGCUGCCAAGUGUUAAAUAACUUUAUUCUCCUGUAUCUUUCACGGCAGCCCUGUGAAGCACGUCUUAUUUUUCCCAUUUUCUAGAAGAGGAAAGUAAACCCAGAGAAGGGAAGGACUUUGCUCCAACUCACACAGCAAAAAAGAGGCCGAGCUUGUGACCAGCUCGCUAUGCUGCCUCCUUCUCCGGAGGGAUGUGUGCAGAAAGGAGAAAGUGUAACCGCUCAGAAAACAUUGGGGCGCCUGGGUGGCUCAGUCGGUUGAGCGUCUGACUUGGGCUCAGGUCACGAUCUCGCGGUCCGUGAGUUCGAGCCCCGCGUCGGGCUCUGGGCUGACAGCUCAGAG